AAGUGUUUAAGGUUCAAGAUCAGGCACUCGAUUGUCUAACAUGAAAAGUUAUUACCAUAGGCUUGCAUGAAAAUCAAAUCUCCGCCACUUGUAAAUGAUAUGAUACACUAACCAAAAGGUCUUUGCAUGGUUGUAACGGGGUUUAGGUUAUAGGUAUGGAUACAAGUUGAAGAGACAAAGGUUAGAAUCGAGAUAAUUUCAAUAUAUU
rnacentral:lncRNA from 1 species